rnacentral:rRNA from 1 species
AUUGAACGCUGGCGGAAUGCUUUACACAUGCAAGUCGAACGGCAGCACGGGGGCAACCCUGGUGGCGAGUGGCGAACGGGUGAGUAAUACAUCGGAACGUGCCCGGUCGUGGGGGAUAACGUAGCGAAAGUUACGCUAAUACCGCAUACGAUCUGAGGAUGAAAGCGGGGGACCUUCGGCCCCGCGCGGUCGGAGCGGCCGAUGUCAGAUUAGGUAGUUGGUGGGGUAAAGGCCUACCAAGCCGACGAUCUGUAGCUGGUCUGAGAGGACGACCAGCCACACUGGGACUGAGACACGGCCCAGACUCCUACGGGAGGCAGCAGUGGGGAAUUUUGGACAAAGGGCGCAAGCCUGAUCCAGCCAUUCCGCGUGCAGGACGAAGGCCUUCGGGUUGUAAACUGCUUUUGUAUGGAACGAAAAGGCUCUGGCUAAUACCUGGGGCUCAUGACGGUACCGUAAGAAUAAGCACCGGCUAACUACGUG